rnacentral:rRNA from 1 species
UACGUAGGUGGCAAGCGUUGUCCGGAUUUACUGGGCGUAAAGAGCGCGCAGGCGGUCGUCCAAGUCGCGUGUGAAAGCCCCCCGGCUCAACUGGGGAGGGUCACGCGAUACUGGUCGACUCGAAGGCAGGAGAGGGUAGUGGAAUUCCCGGUGUAGUGGUGAAAUGCGUAGAUAUCGGGAGGAACACCAGUGGCGAAGGCGACUACCUGGCCUGUUCUUGACGCUGAGGCGCGAAAGCUAGGGGGAGCAAACGGGG